GUUACAGUGUGUGGGUCCACCACUGACAGGCUGCAUGGUCACACUGUGGGAUCCUAGCAAGUUUGCAGGUAAGCAGUACUCCACACAGCUCAGGACAAGUGGGGGUGGAUUUCAACUGUAGCCUGAGAGUGGAUUAUCAGCUUGGUUCAAGUGUAACAAUGACAGUUGUGUGGAAGCUAAUGUGUAAGUGAUGGCUUCAUCAUAGAGACGUACUGACAGCUGUAGGACAGUAGAUGUUGUCGUCAUACACUGCACAGUUGACAACACUGUACACAACAACCCCCCGAAGACAUCAACCACACCUAGGUAUUCAUCUACAAGUUCAAGGUCAACAUAAACGCCUGACGUCUGUGUAAUGUUGGAUGUGACGAGGUAUCACCCUACCACGAGAAGCCAGGGAAGAAACGCUACCAGAUUUCACAAACUCAGGCAAUAAUGUCCUGACAAGAUCCUAUCAAGCAGCCAGGUUACUGUGUACACUUCAAGUGCAGCACUCACGAGUAGGAGCAUAUUCACCCAGCUCUGAAGAACCUUCGCAAACACACACUUCUGAAGAAUGAAAUACAACAGAAUCUUGGAUAAGGCUAAAUGAUCUGCUGACACAGUCAAUGCUUCCACCCAAUCCUUCUGGUAGUGAGUGUUUUUUCCACCCAAUCCUUCUGGUAGUGAGUAUUUUUUCCACCCAAUCCUUCUGGUAGUGAGUAUUUUUUCCACCCGAUCCUUCUGGUAGUGAGUAUUUUUUCCACCCAAUCCUUCUGGUUUGAGAGAAGACUCAACAAGUGAUGAAGAAUUUGAUAUUCAUCAGUCAAGUAAAAACACUGCCAUUGUGUUAAACAUGUGUACUAAAGACAGCUUGUGUGUGAAGUGACAGACAUGAAAUAACAGCACCCACCUCUAUAGUGGAUAUACUGAGUAUACACCCCUGUAUACAGCACCCACCUCUAUAGUGGAUAUACU